AGCAUAGUCGAAUCCAUUUACAAUGUAAUCAACUGUACUAGAACUUUGUCACAAAGACUGCACUGUUUUUCAGUUGGUAAAUUUUUGCAAUGUGUACCGAGUUAUAGUAGACAAAUAUACCCUUAUUCAAGGGUAUUUGAAUAAUUUUCAUUCUAAAAACUUAAAAAAAAAAACAAGAAACCCUGAAACCAUUACUCACCUUCCUCAUUCCUGUUAACUCUUUCUCUUUCAUCUCUCACUCUAACCUUUUCUCUGUCAUCUCUACUGUAGCCCCAAUUAAAAAAUCAGAAACACUGGC
rnacentral:lncRNA from 1 species